rnacentral:rRNA from 1 species
UGGCUCAGAACGAACGCUGGCGGCAUGCCUAACACAUGCAAGUCGAACGAGACCUUCGGGUCUAGUGGCGCACGGGUGCGUAACGCGUGGGAAUCUGCCCUCAGGUACGGAAUAACUCAGGGAAACUUGAGCUAAUACCGUAUAAUGACUUCGGUCCAAAGAUUUAUCGCCUGAGGAUGAGCCCGCGUCGGAUUAGCUAGUUGGUGAGGUAAAAGCUCACCAAGGCGACGAUCCGUAGCUGGUCUGAGAGGACGAUCAGCCACACUGGAACUGAGACACGGUCCAGGGAAAUACGGGAGGCAGCA